GACAGAGGUGCCGAGCGUUAGGCGGAAUCACUGGGCUUAAAGCGUGUGUAGGCGGGUCCGUAAGUACCUUGUGAAAUCCCACGGCUCAACCGGGGAAUUGCUGGGCAUACUGGCGGUCUUGAGCGAUCUAGGGGCAGAUGGAACAAGUGGUGGAGCGGUGAAAUGCGUAGAUAUCACUUGGAACGCCAAAGGUGAAGACAGUCUGCUGGGGAUCUGCUGACGCUGAGACACGAAAGCCAGGGGAGCGAACGGG
rnacentral:rRNA from 1 species